GUAGGCAGCAAGCGUUGUUCGGAGUUACUGGGCGUAAAGAGUGCGUAGGCGGUGCCCUAAGUCUGUUGUGAAAUCUCCCGGCUUAACUGGGAGGGUGCGGUGGAAACUGGGGUGCUUGAGUGUGGGAGAGGUUAGCGGAAUUCCUGGUGUAGCGGUGAAAUGCGUAGAUAUCAGGAGGAACACCGGUGGUGUAGACGGCUGACUGGACCACGACUGACGCUGAGGCACGAAAGCGUGGGUAGCAAACAGGAUUAGAUACCCUGGUAGUCCACGCCCUAAACGAUGCAUACUUGGUGUGAGCCAUUCAUUUGGUUCGUGCCGGAGCUAACGCGUUAAGUAUGCCGCCUGGGGAGUACGGUCGCAAGGCUG
rnacentral:rRNA from 1 species